AGUGGGUAAGAGAAGAAAACAUGGAGAAUUAUUUUACAGCUGUGAUGUUGUCAAUUCUCCUGGGAAAUAACCACUAAAGUCUUGAAAUGUCUUGAGUGAUUGGAGGACCUUUAUUUUUCACGCCUGAUGCCUUAUGCUGAUGAGAUGACUCAGCAGGGGAUGGCCAGGCCAGAAAGACCAAAACUGUAUCCUGAGGUUUGAGUUUCUGAGCCAGGUGAUGUCAUCCUCCAGCUUGGCCGGCCUCUUUCUGGGAGCCUCUGGUGUGAAAGAGAGCAGUGCUUGCCUUUCCCAUGUCUAGGAGUUUGCCUAAAUCUUCAAAGAUAUGUGAGGCUUGCCUAGAACAUCAUCAUCAGGAAUGCUGGUCCUUCAAUUUGUUUUUUGAAUUGAAGUGUAGUUUACAGUGAUCAAGUUGAAAAUAAGGCUCUGCAUGAAAGCUAACUAUUAAAAGGGUGUGGGCACAGGAGCAACCAACACAGACCCCACAGAAUCCCAAACCUAUGCUAAGAGGGAGCACUUCCAUCCCUCCAAACCUGUGCUAAGAGGGACACCUCCAUCCUUCUAAGCCUGUGCUAAGAGGGAACACCUCCAUCCUUCCAAACCUGUGAUAGGAGGGAGCAUCUCCAUCCUUCUGAACCUGUGCUAAGAGGAAACACCUCCAUCCUUCCAAACCUGUGAUAGGAGGGAGCACCUCCAUCCUUCCGAACCUGUGCUAAGAGGGACACCUCCAUCCUUCCAAGCCUGUGCUAAGAGGGAGCACCUCCAUCCUUCCAAACCUGUGAUAGGAGGGAGCACCUCCAUCCUUCCAAGCCUGUGCUAAGAGGGAGCACCUCCAUCCUUCCAAACCUGUGAUAGGAGGGAGCACCUCCAUCCUUCCGAACCUGUGCUAAGAGGGACACCUCCAUCCUUCCAAGCCUGUGCUAAGAAGGAGCACCUCCAUCCUUCCAUCUGGCAACCCCACAUCUUUCUGUGCAGCAUUGGCUCAUGGAGUUUUGCACAAUCUGUUGCCUUAAUGCAGCUGUGAGGUGGUAAACCCCAUGCCAUUGCACAGCUGUGCUGGUGGAGUCUUCAACAACAGAGGGAUGAAACGAGAGUGCUGAGUGAUGGGUGGAGUGUGCUCACAGAAGCCAGCUGUGCUUGCCCCACUCCCACCCAAAAUGUUUACCCACGUGGGAAAUGCCUGCCCUGCAUAGGAGUACCCAAGGAACCCAGGAUAUAAAGAAACUUCUAAAAUGGAUCUGAAAGGGGGAAGAGCCCUCCCCUGUAAGGAAGCGAGAGAGAUUUAUUAAAAAUCAUCAACUUCAAAUUAUUUGGAUGGAAACAUUGCCAAAUCAUAGAGAUGUUUGCUACCACCCGCACACCAAGCAGCUGGGUAACUAGAAGUGCAGGAUCAGCUUAUUCACCUCCGAAAGCCUGCAUGCAACCACUGAGGCCGCCUCUAUUUUUUACAUAGUUCUACUUGGUGUAUGUAACCCCACAGAGAAACCUGGAAGAAUGCAUGAAACCUAGUAAGGCAACCAGCACAUGCAACAGAAUGAACCGUUUCUUUCCAUCUGAAUGCCUAAAUGUGGACUCUGAUCCUUUCUACCAAGUCCUAAGUUUGGGAAAAGAGGACAAGGACAGGGGCUCUGUCCCAUAUCAUAAUGUGCUUGUGAAUGGCUAAAAUUACAAUGCUGAGAUAAGUGUGUGUAAUAAAAUAAUUGCACCCCGAA
rnacentral:lncRNA from 1 species